UACGUAGGUGGCGAGCGUUGUCCGGAAUUACUGGGGGUAAAGAGCGUGUAGGCGGCCAUACAGGUCAGCUGUGAAAACUCGAGGCUCAACCUCGAGACGUCGGUUGAAACCGUAUGGCUAGAGUCCGGAAGAGGAGAGUGGAAUUCCCGGUGUAGCGGUGAAAUGCGCAGAUAUCGGGAAGAACAGCCGUGGCGAAGGCGGCUCUCUGGGACGGUACUGACGCUGAGACGCGAAGGCGUGGGGAGCGAACAGG
rnacentral:rRNA from 1 species